UCAGUAAGCAGCACCCCUCCAUGGCUUCUGCCUCAGCUCCUGCCUCCAGGUUCUUGCCCUGCUUGAGUUCCUGUUCUGACUUCCUUCAGUGAUGAACAGUGACGUGGAAUUGUGCCAAAUAAAUCAAUUUGCUUUUGGUCAUGGCAUUUCAUCCCAGCAAUGGUAACCCUAACAAAGACAGGAUCCAUCUUCCCAGGUGGAUUUUCUUCUCCUUGUGUUAAAUCUAUCCAGCACACUGGGAGUUAGCUGGACCCAUCUGGCUCAGCACCAGCCUCUGCAGAGCCUGCCCUGGCACGGCCCACCUCACGCAGAAUUCAAUGAGUAUUUCCAUUCAGCCUUCCCACAACAGUGCCAGCCAGUUUGCAGAUGUUGUCAUUGAAUGGGUUCCCGGUCCCUGAGAUUUGAAGCAGCAGUUCCAUCAAGCUGCUACAGAAAGACUUUUUUUUUUAAGCUAACAAAACUAAACCCAUGGCUGUUCUUGAAGUGGACUCAUUUGGAAAUAAAAUCUCUCCACAAA
ensembl:lincRNA